CUUUUUUAAAGUUUAUUAAGUAGUAUUUUUUGUAUUAUUCCUUUUUCAUAACAGAAUUAAUCUGUCAGUAAUAUUUUUUUAAAGUAUUUUAAGUUUAAUAUAAGUAUUAUUUUUUGUUUUAAUGGGAGAUAACUGUUGAUUGGACAAAUGGAUAUAACUGCAAUAAGUAUUGUUAUGUGUUAUGUGAAACAGUUUGUAUGGAAUCCUAAGAACUAUUAUUAUAGAUGUAAAGCUAAAGACUAAGUACUGUAAACCAACUUAUUUUCACGGAUACUUUAUUUCGUGUUUUACUCUUUGUAGACCAUUUCACGGCUAUUUAAUUUCACGAUUUUCCGACUUGAUGAAGCUCAAUAAGGAAUGGUCCAAAUUUGACGAUUUAUAUUUGCGUUAUUUUUCUACCCUCGAAAGUCGUGAAAAUAAGUUGGUUAACAGUAAUUGUCUGCUGAGGCUUAAAUAAUUCUUAAGUAUUUUAGUUUAGAUUUUUAGAUGAGGCAAUAGGACAUUCUCUCUUCAUCAAAUUACUAUAUUGGAUGUCAUAAGUUUUGGAAUUUUGGAUCCUCAAUGCUCUUCAACUUUAUACUUGUUUUGGCUUUAUAAAUAUUUUGAUUUGAGCGUCACUGAUGAGUCUUAUGUAGACGAAACGCGCGUCUGGCAUACUAAAUUAUAAUCCUGGUACCUUUGAUAACUAUUUUGACUGAUAUUUGAUGAAAAGAAAACGAUUGAAGAAAAACAAGUAUCUGGGUUACAUAUUUUAAUUUGUAGUCUUCAGUUGUGUUUUCAGUUUUUACUUCUUCUGUCAGUAAAUCAGUGACUAUUCCAAUACAUGAAGUUUCUGCAAUAAAAUGCCAGGAAGUUAACUUUAACCGCUUAUGAAAUCCAAAUCUGAAUAAAGGAUAUAUUAAACUCCUUUUUCAACUAAAAAUAUAGAAUCUUUUAGUUUGUUAAACAGAUGUGCAUAUAUUGCAGAUGUGCAAUGUGGACAGGUUUUUAAUUUUCUUCAAUUUAAACAAAAUUACCAGUUGUUGAUCUUAGUCAAUUUUUUGGGAAAAUUCUCAUACAUGUACAGGUCUACUACAGGGUUUUUCAGUAAAUCUCCUCUUGAAGUUAUAAGCUAUACAUUUGUAAAUUUUCCUAAUAAAUUGUAUAGAUGCAGGAUAUUCAUGUCCGAAAGAUUUCAAUUUAGUUUUGAAAUUGUCAAUUUUGGUGCAAAUUUUCUAGACGGUACAUAGUAUCAUCUUACUCUUUGUUAUGUUUACAAGGCAUUUUUCUUUGUAAACUGGUAUUUUCAUUUUGCCUCACAAACUUUUACCCAAGAUUUUCUUAAGAUGUGAAGAUAUAUGUAGAAAAUUUAUUCAAAAUGAAUUUAAAGUCAUCUGCUGAGUUAAGGAUUAUAAUAUAGUGUUAUUGAUAUUAAAAAAAACAAAAACUUAUGAAUUUAAAUUCCAUUUUCAAAAAAUGUGAAAGCUGUUUGUUAGUGAAAUCAUUUAUUUUCUUACCUAGUUAGAUUUUUAUAGCUUUAUAUAUUGUAAGUGUUCAUAAGCAUUGUUUGUUCAAUCUUGUGGUGUUCAUACCAUUAAACUAUCUGGUUGUAAUAAAAAAAAAUACCAUAAAUAUCUAAAAAUCAGAUCAUCAGAACUUCUGACAUGAAAAUGAGGUAUUAAUUUUUGCACAGUUCAUUAUUAUUCACAAUUUCAUAUGGUUUCUGUUCCAAAAGAGGAAAUGAAGCUGUUUGCCUUAUAAAUUGAAGCAUUUCAACAAUUUAUUAUUAAUAAUUGAUAGCUACCGGUAGGUAUGAAAGUUAGUUGUAAGAUCUAUAAGAUAUUAUAAAUAUUUGUGGAGAUUGGAAGAAUGAAAGUUUAAAAAGAUUUAGAUUUAAUUUUAAAAAUCAUCAAAUUUCAGUGAAAAUUUGGUCCUAAUAAGGCCUAUAAUACACCUUAUCUUAUAAUUUCCAUUGUGCAAGUAAAUUCGUAGUAGUUAAUUCAGCAUUAAAUAAAGUUUCAUUCAAAUAAUUAGUAAAAUUUUAGUGAAAAUUUUGAUAAAAUAUUACCCAUAAUUCACCUUACCUUUUAAUUUUCAUUGCACGAGUCAUAGUAGAUAGUUCAGCAUAAGCUAUGUGUUCAAAAGGCAGAAAAUCAUACUGAGUGAUGUCUUCCAUUAAUAUGUUCUUUAUAAUCUUGUGUUCUCUCUAUUACAUUGUAGUUUUAUUGUAGCUCUAGUUAUUGUUAUACAUAAUAAAAAUGUUUUAUAUUAAUCUUUUGUUCUGUAUGAAAUUUAUAGUACAUGAGUUUUGUCUCAUUGGCACUCAUACCACAUCGUCCUAUAUCUAUAGAAAACACUUUUGGAAUUACAUUUAUGCAAAAAGCUUGGAAUGCAAAUAAAUUUGAAAAAAGACCAAUCAGGGCAAAAAAUUGAAAACUAUUAAAAGGAUGUUGGAUGGUAGAAAAGAACUCCAAAAUCACCCCAUAACCUUCAUACCUUUGUUAUGUAAUUUUGCAUACAUCAAAUAGACAUACAACCAUAAAUGGCCCUCAAAUCUUGAAAAAAAAAACACUUGCCACAUCCAGCUAAAUGGAAAAGCUCCUUGGAGAUACUCAAAUUGAAUAAAAUUCAGUACUAGAUGCAUUAGACAUACAUGUAAGGCAUUUCUAAUCAAAAAUGGCAGUUGGAACAUGUUUUAAUUUUGACUUAUCUCCCAUUGAUAGGUAUCUUGAAGUCACACC
rnacentral:lncRNA from 1 species